UUUUUUUUUUGCUAAGAAGGUAAAUAUUUCAUAGAAAAUGAAAACAGUUUAGGUUUACAAUCAAAGAUUAUAGACCUAUACAAAUGGUCCCAUGGCAAAAAAAUUAAAACAUGGAAGCAUAAUUUGGAAGCCAAAGAACUCGGUCCAUCCACUCAACCAAAGCAACGAGGCUAAGGGAGUUAGACGAAGCGAUGACGAUUUUAUUGUUCUUCCCGGAUUAGUUGCUGAAGAAGAAGGGCGACUGCAAAUUGUAAACACCUAGAUUCACAGGACGCUUAGCUUCAGAAGCCUUUCAAAGGAGGUCCGAGACCGAGCCGUCAACGGCAUAGAACUCAAAGCCCUCGAUCACAUACUCCUCCCGUCAUGUGAGACCGGUUCUGCGAACAUAUCCAAUGAGCUUUCCCUGAACGGAACCUCACAAGCCAAAAUAUGCGAAACGGUACGAGCUCCCUCUACCAAGUUCAUUCCCCGAAGUCAGCUAGCACAGAGCAAGAUAACACAAAGCACAACCACACCGAAUCGCCAAAAGCCUUACUAGCUCCUCUAAAGCACAAAGCAAAACGCAAAAAGGCGAGUACUCAAAGCAAAGCCUACUUCGACUCAAAACAACAACACUAGCAAGACACAAACAAAACCUGGGUUUGAGCAAAAUCAACAAGUCAAGAUAUACAAGUGACGUUAUCAAUUGGAGAUGAUCAACAAGUCACCACCGACGACUAAGUCAUCAACAAAUCAAACAUCACAGCAGCCACCUGAAGGCACAAAAAGAGCAUUCGAGACGGUGAACAAACCAGACGUGCCACGUCAGAACAUCCUCCUAAUAGUCCUGCCACUGUCCUCAAGCAGAAGUUGCCGACAGAGAAAUGUUCAUCAAAU
rnacentral:lncRNA from 1 species